rnacentral:tRNA from 1 species
GCCAUCGUGGUGCAGUGGUCAGCACGCUCGACGUGUAACCGACAGGUCCAUGGUUCGAUUCUCGGCGAAGGUG